rnacentral:rRNA from 1 species
GAUGAACGCUGGCGGCGUGCCUAAUACAUGCAAGUCGAGCGAACAGACGAGGAGCUUGCUCCUCUGACGUUAGCGGCGGACGGGUGAGUAACACGUGGAUAACCUACCUAUCAGACUGGGAUAACUUCGGGAAACCGGAGCUAAUACCGGAUAACAUGCUGAACCGCAUGGUUCAACAGUGAAAGACGGUCUUGCUGUCACUUAUAGCUGGAUCCGCGCCGCAUUAGCUAGUUGGUAGGGUAACGGCUUAUCAAGGCAACGAUGCGUAGCCGACCUGAGAGACGGAUAGGCCGCCUGAGAGCGGGACCGGGGUCAAGAGUACUGAGAGAGGGACCAGACGGGAACCGUACGCAGUAGGGGAGAGUAUGGCAGAGCGGGGCCACGUGAGUGAAGGAGGUCUUGGGAGCGUAAAGCUCUGUUAUUGGGGGAGAACCAAUGUGGAAGGAGCUAUGCACGUCUUGACGGUAACUAGUCAAGAAGCAACGGCUAACUACGUG